GCAAUAACCUAGCCCAACCAUAACAAACAUAACACAAUAAACAAACCAUCCUACCAAGACCAAACAAAACAUUUUUAACACCUCUUAGUAUAGGCGAUAGAAAAGACAGUUGGAGCAAUAAAGACAGUACCGUAAGGGAAAGGUGAAAAACAAUGAAACAAUCACUAAGCCAUAUAAAAGCAAAGAUAAACCCUUGUACCUUCCGCAUCAUGAUUUAGCCAGCAUAUUCAAGCAAAGAGACCUAAAGUAUGAACCCCCGAAACCAAGUGAGCUACUUAAAGACAGCCCAAUUAGGCUAAAUCCGUCUCUGUGGCAAAAGAGUGGAAAGAUCUAUAAGUAGAGGUGAAAAGCCUAACGAACUUGGUGAUAGCUGGUUGCUCAAUAAAAGAAUAUAAGUUCAACCUUAAACCUUCUAUAAAACAACUUAAAGUAAAAAGAAAAGUUUAAGAUUUAUUCAAUUGGGGUACAGCCCAAUUGAAAAAGGAUACAACCUAAAACGGAGGACAAAACACAUAAACAUCCACUACCUGUAGGCCUUAAAGCAGCCACCAACAAAGAAAGCGUCAAAGCUCACUACAACAACAAAACAGUAACACAAAUUUUCUCCCCAAAUAACAUUGAGCCAUUCUACCACAAUAGAAGAACUAAUGCUAAAAUGAGUAACAAGAAGAUAAACUUCUCUAAUGCGCUAGCUUAAAUCAUGACAGAUAAACUACUGAUUAUUAACACCGCUAUAAAACCAAUAAUGCUUAAAACACCCUAUAAGACUUAACUGUUAACCCAACACAGGAGCGCACACAAGAAAGAUUAAAAUUUGUAAAAGGAACUAGGCAAAUCAAACGAACCCGACUGUUUACCAAAAACAUAGCCCCUAGCAAUACACAAGUAUUAGGGGUAAUGCCUGCCCAGUGACUCUGUUAAACGGCCGCGGUAUCCUAACCGUGCAAAGGUAGCGCAAUCACUUGUCUUUUAAAUAAAGACUAGAAUGAAUGGCCAAACGAGGUUCUACCUGUCUCUUACAAACAAUCAGUGAAAUUGAUCUUCCCGUGCAAAAGCGAGAAUAAUACUAUAAGACGAGAAGACCCUGUGGAACUUCAAACAUGAAAUCAACUAUCACCAACAUCAACCUAACCAAGGCCUAUUAAAAUAACACCUGAUUUCUAUUUUCGGUUGGGGCGACCUCGGAGAAAAACAAAACCUCCGAAAAAAGAACUAUUCUUUUAAACCUAGACUAACAACUCAAAGUGCUAUCAGCAUAAACGAUCCAAUAUACUUGAUCAACGGACUAAGCUACCCCAGGGAUAACAGCGCAAUCCCAUCAUAGAGUCCCUAUCGACGAUGGGGUUUACGACCUCGAUGUUGGAUCAGGACAUCCUGAUGGUGUAACCGCUAUCAAGGGUUCGUUUGUUCAACGAUUAAUAGUCCUACGUGAUCUGAGUUCAGACCGGAGCAAUCCAGGUCGGUUUCUAUCUAUAAACUUGAGCCUUUUCUAGUACGAAAGGACCGAAAAGACAAGGCCAAUAUCAUAAAACAAGCCUUACCUUACAUUAGUGAAAACAACUUAACUAACAAUAAGACAAAAAUCCUGACCCAAAAAAAGGGUCUA